GGGUCAGAGAGAGAUUUGGAGAGAGAGAGAGAGAGAGAGAGAGUAGGCUGAAGCUAGACUGGUCCAAAGCCACAAGCCAGGAAUUCAGAUCUGAGUCCCUCAUGUGGAUAGCAGGAAGCUAAUCAUUUCAGUCACCUCCGCUGUCUUUCAGGGUCCUCACUAGCAUGAUGCUGGAGUCAGGAGCCAGAACUGGGUAUAGAACUCAGGUACUCCGACACAGAAUAUGGGUAUCUUAACUGGCAUCUUAACCACUGGGCCAAAAGUCGACCCCUUGGUUAUUUUUCUUGAUGUUUUAUAUCACACUUCAUUUAUUUCCCAGAAAUUGUCUUGAGAUAUCCAAACCCAAAUACCAGUGUUUGUCAGUUUUUCUUACAAUUGACAAUGUUUCAUAAAAAAGAAAUAACUAUCUCUUGCCACUCACAGAAUCUGUUGUUCUUGGUAGCUUUGGGAGCCACAAGGAGGGAAGGACUAUACUUCCAGGGAAGAAAAGUCCUUGUCAAGGUCCCGCGGGUACCUAAAGGUCAACCAAUGAGGAUCAGACCCGCCUCAACCUUUAACCCCCAUACCCCGAAUCUAUAAAAGGAGCACUCCCAAUCCCUGACCCGGGACUUCCCCUGCCCCAGCUCUGUUGCUUUGUUGGGGCCAUGGAACCUCGCCUGGGAGCAGAACUCCAAUAAAAGCCUGUGAAUUAAUUGACUCAUCUGCCUGGGGAGAUUUGUUAUGCGCCAGGACACCUUGCAGUUCUCAAGACAACCAACAUGUCUAUGUACAACAUAAGUGCUUUAUGAGGGCUCGUUCUACAUUUUUUUCUGUUGUUAUUGUGAAUGUGUGUGGGAAAUAGCACAAUGAGCAAUAAUACAAUUUCGUGGCACUGCCGAGCUGAAGAUCAGCAGGUGUCUUUAUCCACCAUUGCUUUUCAACCAUCACUGUAAGUGUUAUCACAGUGGGAAAGGCAAAUUACACCUUGGUAUUGUUAAAAAAAAAAAAAAAGAGCAUUUUUACCUCCUGGGCCCCGUCAAAGUCUCAGGGAUUCUCAGGGGCUCAGGGACCAUAUUUGGAGAACUUUUACUCUAGUCUUUUUUUUUUUUUUUUUACUUGAGACAUAGAAAUAGAGUGACAAAGAGAAAGGUCUUCCAUCCGCUGGUUCACUCCCCAAGUGGCUGUAAUGGCUGGAGCUGGGCAGAUCCAAUUCCAGGAGCCAGGAGCUUCUUCAGAGUCUCCUAUAUGGGUACAGCAGCCCAAGAACUCAGGCCAUCUUCUACUGCUUUCCCAGGCCAUAGCAGAGAGCUGGAUCAGAAGUGGAGCAGCUGGGACUUGAACCAGCACCCAUGUGGGAUUCUGGUGCCACAGACCACAGCCUUACCUACUCUGGCACAGUGCUAGCUCCUCAACCAGUCUCUUAAUUGCAAGGCCAAAAGGUCCGAGUUACCGAGAGAGGGAUAGAGAUAUUCUGUCUGCUGCUCCAUUCCCCAGAUGAUCACAUAGGCAGGGACUGGGAUGCCGGCAUUGCAGGUGGCGGCUUUUCCUGCUAUGCCACAAUGCUGGUCUCCUGCAAUUCAUUUAUAACUGGGUUUUGAAAUACACGCCAACCAAUGUCUGGUUUUCAAACUAGACUUGGACAUGUGUGCCAAAAAUAUACAGAAACAGAUACUCUUGAAUUUGUAGUAACUUACUUACAUUCUUAGUGAAUAAGAAGUUAGGGAGCAACCUUUUCCCAGUAACUUAAAUAUUUAUUACCAGUUGUAAUUAAAUGACUAGAAGUUACUGUGAUGCCCAACAUCAGCAAAUAUAGCACCGUCAUAUAGUCUAUGUUAGAGUAAACCAUGCCAUAGAACAGAAUGUUAUCUAUAGAAGAGAACCCAUCUAAUGUUAGGGAAAUUGAGAGAAUUUAUAUAUUCUAAAGGGUAGCAAUUUUCAGAGUAGAUCCAGGGAAGAGACCACCACAAAGAGUCAUUUUUUGAUUUAGUUAAUUUUUGUUUUUUUUAUGUUACCCAUAUAUAAUAUUUCCUCUUAAAAUAAGCCUCCUAUUCUUCAUAUCUUUGUGCUAUUGUUCUCAAAAGUAGGGCAGCAGGGCCAUCGCAGGCGGUCCUGCUGGGAAAUCAGCACACAGGACUCCCUUGUAUCCUCCCCACCUUUUUUGCAACUGUUGCAAACACAGGAAAUGGUGAUUUGGUCCACUAGUGUGGCCAGUAGGAAGAACACCAGCUUUGGGACCAGUUCAGACCUGCUGGACCUCUGGGCAAUUCUUUCUCUCUGACAUGGCAGAAAAACCAACAUGUAUGCCUACAAAGAAACCUAAUGAUGAAGAAACACAAAAAGAAGAGAAUAUCCAUUGCUUAACCACACUUGGCCAUUUUGGUUUUGAAUGUUUGCCCUACCAGUUGGUAAAUAGGGCUCUCCAUCAAGGAUUCUCUUUUAAUAUUCUCUGUGUGGGGGAGACUGGAAUUGGAAAAUCAAUGCUGAUUGAAACAUUGUUUAAUACCCAUUUGAGAGAUAACAAAUCCUCACAUUUUUACCCAAAUGUUGGACUUAAAAUUCAGACACAUAAGCUGCAGGAGAGCAAUGUUCAAUUGAAACUGACUGUUGUGAAAACAGUGGGAUAUGGAGAGCAAAUAAACAAAGAAGCCAGGCAUGAUUGACUUUUGAAAAUGACAAUCCAGAGAAAUAGUGCCAUUAGUAACUUCCUUUGUAGGCCAUCAUUCUCCUCUCUGAGAAAGUCUGGUCCCUGAUGGCUCAAGGUCCCAGGCAGGUGGCAGGCAGCCUUCCUCACCCCUCCACCUAGUCUCUGGAUUCUGAUAUCCAACAGCAACAGCAGCAGCAAGGAGAAACUGGGAGGCGGGCAAGAGGCACAGCCUGGAUCAGCAGUGCUAGGGAGAGACCACAGGCCCCCUGCUAGCGGAUUCUUAUUCCUCAGGAGGUUGGGAACCCUGACCCUGAGACCUGCUGAUCUAGGAGGGUGCCAUUGUGACUGCGCUCCAUGAUGUCAUCAUUGCCAAGCACUGCUCCUUCCAUAUUCUACAGCAGUUAGAGGCCACUCCUGUGUCAAGUGACCGGCUGAGCUGGAGUUUGUUUUCUAGGCAGCAAGCAAGUUCAGGACACAGGGAUGGAUUCAGGUCCAGUGAAGCUUAAGAGUCAUUUGCCCUUAUAUUAAAAUGGAGUUUUGUAAAAAAAAAAAAAAUCCUGCUCAACCGGUGUGCAAAAUGCACACAAAACAAAAAAUGUUGCUACUUUAUCUGCAUGAAAAAAGAAACACAAUUCAGGCGGCGCUCAAAUAAGCCUCCAAAGUGCCCGCCACUGGACGCCAUCUUGCCCGGAAGUAGGAUAGAUCAAGGCGUGCCAGGAUUGGCUGGAGAAUCGACAGCAUCGGUCAUCAUUUCCUGAGAGCACGGACUGAAGAGACGUGGUGCCGCCCCCUGGCAGCCCCGCAGAGAGGAUUCAAGCUCUGGAAGUAGCCUGGAUUUGAGAGCUGGAUGGAAGGCAGGCAUUGUAGUGAUCAUGGUGAAAAUGUGGCUGCAACUGACACAAGUUGGUCUAAACUGGGACUCCCAAAUAGAGGCCCAGAUGACCUGAUAAAGAGAAUAAAUAUAGAUAUGCAUACAGUAGUCAGAAUAACUCCAGUGGAAAUUACCCUAAAGUUCCAAAGUCUCUAAAUUACAACCUAGAGAAGACUUGCAUCUGGGCUGAGGUACAUCUUGUGAUUCAAGAGCCAAGGGAGCACACCGAAGAAAGAAAGCCUGUUUUGGGACAAGAAUUAGACUAAGAAAUAACAGUGCAUCUCCAAUUAAUAGUGAGUGGCCAGAAUGUGGUGCUGACGAUCCAUUGUGACAAACCUCAGAUGAAAAUUUUGAAUUUGUCAAUGGCUUUUAGCAGAAAUGAGGCAGAGUCUCUGGAGCCCCCUGGUCUGCCAGAACCAUCAGAAUGGCAGUACCACUGAGCCCUUCGUCCGAUCCAGCCAAUAAAAAUAAUAUGGUUGUGUGUAACCAGGCAUCGCGUUGCCGACUAGCAGAGAACCAGCGGGAAAUACAAGAUCUGAAAGAGAUAGUUCGUCAUUUCAGCUUCAUCCUCCACCAAGAGGAAAACAAUUAUGGUGAGGGCCAAGAGGUGAUUCAAUCCAGGCUAAGGGAGAAGCCAGCACUUGGAACUCCACAGCUUGAGAAGCUGGCACCUGCCGAGUUCAAGAAAUGCCAUGUAAAUAAGGCACGCACCCGCAAGCGGUGCCGGCUACGUAAGAAGUCAAGAAAACAGACACAGAUUAGUCAUCUCAGCCUACAUCCCAGAGCCCUCCUCACCCAGCAUGACCCUGACAGCCACCUACAACGGGGCUUGCUGGAGCCACUGGUUGUUCACAGUCAGGCUGGAAAAGCAUCUUGUCUACAAAUGUAGCCUGGGUAAGGGGACCUCAGGCUCUGAUUUCAGAAAGUCUCAAAUUUACAGGAGACUCCACUUCCCUGCAGGAGACAUUUUCCUGCUACCUUGUUUUCAUUGAGAUAUCUGUGGCCAUGACAUGAUCAGGAAUUCUGGAUGAGAACUAGAGUGAGAAACGCACAGGCUUGAAGUUCCUAGCAUUGCAGAAGUCUCCAUUUUCCCCAGUGCAGGUGGCCUUUGAUCAAGAUGCUGUAUCCAUCCAGUUUGAAAGGACAGGAAGGAGGUUGGGGCAGGUGGUGGCUUGUAAG